UCAGCUCCAAUCCCAGUGUCAGCUGGGGCAGUAGCUACACGAGGCUUAACUAGGGCUGGCAGAUCCACUCGUGUACUGAGUCACGUGGUGGCUGGGUCAUAGUCCAGAUUCAGUAUGGGCCGAUUCUAUUAAAAGCGCCUAGGAAGCAGUACAACUACAGAGCCAAAAUACGUGAUCUUUUGUAAGGUUUAUAACUCACAGUGUGGCACUGCAUAUUUCAUCCACUGCAAGCAUCAAUAAGAUUUGAAUUUUGGAAACAGAAGAGUUUAAAUUGAUGGCAUUUCUACCUACUUCAUUUAUCAAAUAUUUAUCAAGAAACUCUAUGUCCCCAGCACAGUCUGGACAUUUAAAACCAGCAGUGAAAUAAGAAUGGCUAACUCCCUGCUCUCUGACAGUACACGUUUCAGCAGAGGGAGACAGAGAGAAAACAGAUCCCACCCCUUAUCUCCCCCUCCACCUCACACUCCUUCAGAUGGGACUGCUGGAGUGCAGUAAGAGGAACAACGGAGGAUUGUGAUGAGGCCCAUCAUGCACUUCCUCCACAAAUAUUCUUCAAGUGCCCACCGCGAGCAGAGACCAAACGGAAAGCUUUUGAAAUUACCCAGAGAACUCUGAGGCUCCAUGCUCAUGUAAGGAUGUAUAGAUUUGGACUUUGCCUCUUGGACGCAGGAGUGACGUGCUUGUCUGGUGUUUGAAGACGUAUUUGUGAAAUCCCAAGGGAACUCUAAAGGCCAAAUAUAUGCUCAGCUUCUGGCCUCAUUCUUUUGAAAAAGCUAGACCAUGUCCUCACACUUGACAAAGAUUCCAUGGUUUUGGGUAUAUGCCAUGCUUAUAAUUAAAAAAAAAAAAAAUUUCCCCAUUAGGUUUGGUCAAAGAGGUGGCAACAUAUUAAAAACAAAAAGAUUUCUGGAUCAUUUAAAAACUACCUUUAAAAGUUCUGCCACCGGCGUUUGUUUCUGAAUCAUUCAGGAAACCAUGUGAAGAAAUGCAACCUUUUUCAUAACACAGAUCAGGUAUCAACAUCCUGACUUUCACAGGUCAUGCGUCUUUUCUGUCCCACGCAUCUCUGAGAUGGUUUCUUGAACUGGUGUUCUGAUUGUGAUUGUUCUGAUUGUCAUUCCUGCUUAGCCAUAACAAGUGAAGGAAGUUAUUGCCAUUUUACCAUGCGCAUUUGGACGAGUCCAGUCCUUAUGAGUGUCUGCCUGAGGGGAAUUCAGAAAUAUGCCGACUUAGGCUGGCAGAGACCUGUGGGCAGAUAUAAAACUUUCAAAGAAUGUAAUUGGUAAGGAAUUUUCUUAUUUUUUUGUUUCAUUUUGUUUCUCCUUGCAGGCUAUGUUUUUGCCUGCAAUACUUAAGGUAUUUUUUAUUUUAUUAGCAAUUCAACAUCCAAUGGUUAAGAUUUCUUCUCGAAGAUGCGCACAGAAAUUAACAUAGUGCUUCAGGUAGCCUCACUCUCCAAUCUUCCUCACUAGUGCCUGAUGUAGGACAAGAUUCCCCCUCUGCAGCUCUGAGCACCUUCCUUUUAUGUGUGAGAUUUAGCAAAGGAUGCUUGACAAAUCCUUUCCCAUAACUCCUAACUAUUAAAAUGUCUUUUUUGUGAGUCAUGUUUUCUCUUUAAUUUUACUUAGGGAGUUCUAUAUUUAUGUUUAAAAUCUUUACACUUAAAACAUUUUCAUGAUUUAAAAAUAAAGUCAGCUUCAUGCAGAGGGCAAAACUCAAUACCACAGAGAUGUCAUCAGAGGCCUGAUGCAUAAAUGGGUCAGAAAAUGCAGGAAGACUCUGGGCUGUGCCUCUCCACAGUACUUCCAACUUCUCUUGUUGUAGGACAUCAGCGAUGGCUAGCUCACACAAAAGGGAAUUCAGUAGAAGGAAACUGGGAGACCACAAACAUACACAGGAACAGUUAAUAACAGAACUACAGAAGAAGGUGUGGAGGAAGCUUCAGGGACCGCUGUAUUGAAGGAUCAUGGACUUUUUCUUUAAGGAGCUCUUGAAUAUUACUGAGCUUCAUGGAUCCCUAACCUCGUGUCUCUGUCUUCCGCACCCCUAAAUUCCGGGGACUGAGUAUCCAGUGGUCCCACUUUGGCCAGUUAUCCAUUCCUAUAGAAAUGAUGGCAAGAUCCAAAAUACAGAGUCAGUUCUUGGAAUCCUAAAGGUAGAUACAAGGUUUUAUCAGAGGCAGGUGCUAAGACAGCAUUAGACUCUCAAGAGAUUCACUGGGGAAAUGGUCUGUGAAGGAUAAAGGGGAGGAGUAGAAGACACCAUGAAACAGCUCUAUCCCCUGUGAGGAAAACAAAGGUGAAGCAGCAUUGGACUGCCAGAAUCCAGCACUGCAACAUGAAGAAAGUUAUGGUCAAGUCAAUGAGGAUCCAUGUGCCAAAGUCGCACCUAAGAAAAUUCUUGCAACCUUGCAAGAAUGAGCCUGCUUUUAGUAUCUGUCAUUCAGCCCAGGGAAGGGUGGCCUUGGUAUGAAUGUUGAGGUGGACUCAGAUAGCAGCUGAAGCUAUCAAUCAAUUGCACAGCAGGAGAUCUGAGUUGUGUAUUUACAUGGCUGCUCGCAAAGCUGUUCCUCAAUAAGAGAAUUACAGAGAACAGGGAGGUUGCCCCAAGAGAUGUCCUCUGCGUUGACCUUUGAAACUGAACUCUAGAGACCUGAUUGUUGUAUCUGUUUGGGGCUCUAUUGCUACUGAGCUGUGAGUCUCAUCAUACCCAGUAAUUCCUAAGUUCUUUACAGUAUCCAUUCAGCUUUGCAUUAUCCUUUUUUCCAUGUUCUAUUUUAAGAUCCCAAGUAAAAUAGAUCUGAAUUGAAUGUCCUCUACAGUUUCUUAGGAACGUCAUCCCUUGAGUAAUGAUACCUAAGGAGACCGGCCUUAGGUUGUUUUGUUCAUAUGAGAGUACUGACUGGUUUUCUCCACUUUCUUGUUGACUAGCAUCCAAACCUCUAGAAUUACACUUUGGUUGCUUCUCUAACAACAAACAGAGCAUGACUUUAGUGGCAGAAAGACCAUUGCCUGCAGGGAAGAAAAGAGGAAUAGAAAAGGAGCAAGUUAAUGGGAGGAAGAGGGGCCCAAUCUCAGAAGGAGAACCCCCCUUUCCUGCCACAUCUACUUAACUUCACCCCCUCAAAAAUCCCAGAAUUCAUUUAGAUUGCAACUUUAAUUUUUUUUCUUCCUCACUGCUCACUAUAUGGACCAAGCAAACUUCAUUUCUUUUUUUUUUUUUUUAAGAUUUUUUAUUUGACAGGUAGAAUUACAGACAGUGAGAGAGAGAGAGAGAGAGAGAGAGAGAGAGAAAGGUCUUCCUUCCAUUGGUUCACCCCGUAAAUGGCCACAAUGGCCGGAACUAUGCCGAUCCAAAGCCAGGAACCAGGUGCUUCUUCCCAGUCUCCCAUGUGGGUGCAGGGCCCAAGGACUUGGGUCAUCCUUCACUGCCUUCCUGGGCCACCGCAGAGAACUGGACUGGAAGAGGAGCACCCAGGACUAGAACCUGGUGCCCAUAUGGUAUGCCGGCACUGCAGGCGGAGGACCAACCUAGUGUGCCAUGGUGCCAGCCCCUGCAAACUUCAUUUCUGCUGACUCUAUGUAUACACAGGUGCUAAGAGUAAAGAAACUCACCCAAACCUCCUCUACAGGUGUAUUUCUGGUGCCAUGUGCACAUUUUCUUCUGUUAUGCAUGCCUUCUGCUUUACUCUGAAAUACCUUUCUCUGCAGCUUCCAGUUCAUCUUUUGUGAACCCAGUAGAGUGAGAUUUAAUCAGUGUGACAUAAUCAGAUGAUUAUUUCUUCGGGCCUUAAAAGCUUCAUUUUCCAGUUUCUUUAGAAUCUUGUGUUAAAACAAUAUGGACUAAAAUAAGCCGGCGCCGUGGCUCAAUAGGCUAAUCCUCCACCUUGCGGCGCCGGCACACCGGGUUCUAGUCCCGGUUGGGGCGCCGGAUUCUGUCCCGGUUGCCCCUCUUCCAGGCCAGCUCUCUGCUGUGGCCAGGGAGUGCAGUGGAGGAUGGCCCAAGUGCUUGGGCCCUGCACCCCAUGGGAGACCAGGAAAAGCACCUGGAUCCUGGCUCCUGCCAUCGGAUCAGCGCGGUGCGCCGGCUGCAGCGGCGGCCAUUGGAGGGUGAACCAACGGCAAAGGAAGACCUUUCUCUCUCUGUCUCUCUCUCUCACUGUCCACUCUGCCUGUCAAAAAAAAAAAAAAAAAAACAAACAAACAAACAAAAAAAACCAAUAUGGACUAAAAUAAAAUUCCUAUGUGAUUAUCUUAGUCAUGAUAAAUGACAGAAGGUGCCACAAAAAAUAACCUCCAAAUCUCAGCUACUUAUCAUCCUGUGUGGAUGUUUCUAAGUUAGUAGCUCUCUUCCCUGCAGUGACUCAGUGGCCAUCUGGGGCACCACCAUGUUGACAUAUCAAAGUUAACUUUCUCCAACAGCAAAUAGGAGGAAGACAAUGAGAAUGGAGGGUUAUCCUUGGGACAAUUUUCCAGGACACACUAAAAAGUUCUUACAUUAUUUCUGUAUAUAGUUCAUUCAACAUAGCUUAUAAAGAUACCAGAACAACAAUAACAAAAAACCCUGAAAGGAAGGCUGUGAAAUGUAAAUUUGGGAGUUCUACAGUCUUUAUCGUGUUGACUAAUAUACAUUUGGAGGUAAACUACAGCAUCUCCCAGAAAAACGAGUCUUCUCUCCAUCUCUAGAGAUAAAUAUUUGGUCUUUCCCUUUUCUCUUUUUUUCUUUUUUUUUUUUUUUUGACAGGCAGAGUGGACAGUGAGAGAGAGAGAGACAGAGAGAAAGGUCUUCCUUUGCCGUUGGUUCACCCUCCAAUGGCUGCCGCGGCCAGUGCGCUGCGGCCGGCGCACGGUGCUGAUCUGAUGGCAGGAGCCAGGUACUUGUCCUGGUCUCCCGUGGGGUGCAGGGCCCAAGGACUUGGGCCAUCCUCCACUGCACUCCCUGGCCACAGCAGAGAGCUGGCCUGGAAGAGGGGCAACCGGGACAGAAUCCGGCGCCCCAACCGGGACUAGAACCCGGUGUGCCGGCGCCGCAAAGCGGAGGAUUAGCCUAGUGAGCUACGGCGCCGGCUCCUUUUCUCUUGUAUAUGCAAGUGCCAUCCAUAAAUGACCUGAAAUUCAUUAAUUCAAAAAAGUUUUAUUAAGCUCCAACCAUAUGCUAGACACUAUGUUGGGCUAUAUAGUUGUAAAAUAAGAUGUGAUCUGCAUCCAGGAAAAAGGCUACAGUCGGGGAGAAAAGAGUAAAAAUGCAAUCAAGAAUUAAAAUGAAAAAUAUAUUAAAUUGAAGGUUCUUCUUUGAGCAAGAGCAAGGGACCCUUCUCCAGCUCAGAGGGUCAUGGAAGGGCUUGAAAACAGAUGAACUUCUUAAUUAAUGAAAGGGAGUUUUGGAGUAAAGAAAACUGCACAUGAAGGCAGAGAGCUGUAGAAUUGCACACAAGUGAAGUCAAUCAGAUAAAUGAAGGGAGGAAUGGAGCUAAGGGCCCAACGUUUGCCCAGAUCCUGAAGAGCAUGGACUUUUCUGUGUGCGAUGGCUGAUCUUGAGUGUCUGUGUGACUAGACAUGGGAUACCCAGACAGCUGGACAAACAUUCGCUCUCAGUGCUGCCAGUUGGCCCUGAGUCUGGCCCUCUUCUGCUGCAAGGGAAACCUCAGUGGCCUGGUAUUUGAGGAGAAAGAUUGGGCCUCACAGGUGUAUCUGCGAGGGUAUUGCUGGAGGAGACUGAUGUUUGGGGACAGAAAGAGGGAGUCUGCCCUAAGUGUGAUGGGCAUCACCCGGUCAGCCGCGGACCCAGCAGGACUAAAGGAAGAGGAAAGGUGGAUUCUGCCCCUCUGGUUUCCUUCACCUGCCCUUGUGAUUAGAACUCCAGGUUUUCCAGGUUUUGGACUCUGGGACUCACACCAUUGGGCUCUGAGCCUCUUGGGACUUAGGCAAUGGAUGGAGAGUUGCCCAUUUGCUUCCUUGGUUCUGAGGCCUUUAGACUUGGGCUCAGCCCUGCUACUAGCUUCCUUGGGUCCCAGCUGGCAGAUGGAUUCUAGAGGAACUCUCAGCCUCUGUGAUCAAAUGAGCCAAUUCUCCUUAUAAAUCUCUUUCAUCUCCCUGUUUAUAUGCUGUUGUUUCUGUCCCUGUGGGGAAUCCUGCUAAAACAUUACGUAUGCCAAUCCAACAAAGAAUUGUAAGUCAGUGAAUAAUAUGGUCAAAUGUUAAUUUGAUGACACUUUAUACCAUUAAAAAUAACUGAUUGGGGCCAGCAUUGUGGCAUAGGGGGUUAAGCCACUGCCUAUCAUCAUCCUAUUUAGAUGCCCAUUCGAGUCCCACCUGCUCCACUUCCAAUUCAUCUCCUUGCUAAUGCACCUGGGGAAGCAGCAGAGGAUGGCCCAAGUCUUUGGACCCCUGCACCCAUGUGGGAGAUGCAUAAUAAGCUUCUGGCUUCUGGCUUUGGCCAGCCCAGCCUCCUGUGACAGCCAGUAAGUUGGAUCUGGAGUGGAAUAGCAAGUACUCAGCUCAGACACUAUGAUGCAAGAUGCAGGCAUCCCACGUAGGAACUUAACCACCACCCCACCACACCUGUCCUCCUUUUCGGUAUAUUAAAGACGCUUUUACAUUCUUUCCUAGUCUCCAUAGUUUCUAAUGAGAAGCAACUUGUAAAUCAGUGGAUCAUUCCCUUGCAUGAACUCUAUUACUUUGCUCCUGCUUUUUCAAAUUUGAUGCUUCAUAUUUAGCUUUCAGAUGUUUAUGAUGCAGAGAUCAUAUGCUUGUGUUAUGUUUGUGUUUUCCCGGCUUUGUGUUCUUGAUCAUAUUUAACUUUAAGAUGUAUAUAUUUCAUUAAUGAAUUUGGGAAUAUUUGGCCAUUGUUUAAAAUGUUGAAAUAUUUAAAUGUUGCUUACUUCUCUCUCUUACUUUUUAUGGGAUUCCAUGUAUAACAUGUAUGUUAUACUACUUAAUAUAACCUCCCAGGUUUUUGAAGUUCUGUCCAUUUUUGAAUCUUUUUUCUCUCUGAUUUAUUCUGAAUAAUUUCUAAUGAACUAUCUUCAGGUUCAUUUGACCUUUCCUCUGUCAUUACUACUUUGCUCCUAUAGGGGAGAAAAAAUAAUUUUUCCUUAACUCCUGUAUGUUCUUAGUGGAACAUGGCCCUGUUUUGCAUUUUUUUAAAGAAAAACAAACAAAAGCUUAACAUCUAUAUUUCAUCUGAGAGAUAAUAUAGAGACUAAGUAAUUAUUAAAGAGGAAGCUUUGGAUUUCAGCUUUGAGGUCAUCUUCAAC